UGGGGAAUCUUCCGCAAUGGACGAAAGUCUGACGGAGCAACGCCGCGUGAGUGAUGACGGCCUUCGGGUUGUAAAGCUCUGUUAAUCGGGACGAAUGGUUCUUGUGCAAAUAGUGCGAGGAUUUGACGGUACCGGAAUAGAAAGCCACGGCUAACUACGUGCCAGCAGCCGCGGUAAUACGUAGGUGGCAAGCGUUGUCCGGAAUUAUUGGGCGUAAAGCGCGCGCAGGCGGAUUGGUCAGUCUGUCUUAAAAGUUCGGGGCUUAACCCCGUGAUGGGAUGGAAGCUGCCAAUCUAGAGGAUCGGAGAGGAAAGUGGAAUUCCUAGUGUAGCGGUGAAAUGCGUAGAUAUUAGGAAGAACACCAGUGGCGAAGGCGACUUUCUGGACGAAAACUGACGCUGAGGCGCGAAAGCCAGGGGAGCGAACGGG
rnacentral:rRNA from 1 species